AUGAAACUCUACCAACCGCAGAUCCCAGGAGUAAGGAUGUUUUCAUUCUAUCAAUCUCUUUCUUUACAGACUCACAGAGAAUUCUAAAGUCCAUUCUGAGACCAAAGGGAUUUCAACCCUGAUGAGUAAAUAGAGAAGAGAUUCAAAGACAAGGGGCUUCAAGAUGCUGUUGAUUCUGUAUGAACAUGAAGGGCUUCGGCAUGCAGUUACAGUUGGUAGAGAGGAGGAAGAGGCUAUUGGCAUGAUGCAAAUCCUACAAAUAAUAGGAAAACUUACAGGACAAAGGACAUGAACUGAAGCAUGAAAAUUCAAAUCUAGAAUUCUUGAAUAUAAGCUGAGUAGAACAAGGUAGGAGUGAUGUCAUCUUCGACAGCCACCUAAAUGUCUUCCAUACAAUAUU
rnacentral:lncRNA from 1 species